rnacentral:rRNA from 1 species
UACGUAGGGGGCGAGCGUUGUCCGGAUUUAUUGGGCGUAAAGAGCUCGUAGGCGGCUUGUCGCGUCGGAUGUGAAAGCCCGGGGCUUAACUCCGGGUCUGCAUUCGAUACGGGCAGGCUAGAGUUCGGUAGGGGAGAUCGGAAUUCCUGGUGUAGCGGUGAAAUGCGCAGAUAUCAGGAGGAACACCGGUGGCGAAGGCGGAUCUCUGGGCCGAUACUGACGCUGAGGAGCGAAAGCGUGGGGAGCGAACAGG